rnacentral:lncRNA from 1 species
CGGAUGAGCUGGACGAGCCAGACACCUCGGACAGUGAGAUGGUCCUGAGCACCAGGGCGGAGGCCACACAGAGCUCGCCAGGGGAGGGACCCGGGUGUGUCUGCGACAAGGAGUGUGGACGGGGCCCGCAGAAGAGGAAGCGGGCCUCAGACUCCUGGAGCAAAGCCUCCAAGAAGCCGACCUGAGGAAGGAGGAACCAGGGAGCCAGGAGUCCCUCACCCAGCACCAGCACCUGGGAAAAGACCAGGGCAUCCCAGCCUGCCCAGUGAUGCGCCCCACCUGAUUGAUUGCCCGCAGCCAGGACAACCCCCACUGCCAGCCAAGCAGACAGCCCCGGGAGCAGGGUAGUGGACUGGGUCCUGCCACAUCCACAGGGGUGUGAAGGCCAAGACGAUUGGUCUUUUGAACCCCUCCAUCUCGGAAACGAUCUUACCCACCACUCUCACCCCAGCAUCUGCUCCCUUGUGGGGAGCAGGGUCCUGGGAGACCGAGAUGGCUCAAGCUCCAGCCGAGCCCCGCCCCCAGCCCUGCUGUGCACGGGCAGGCCCUCCUGGGCAGUGCCCCUCCUCCC